GACGAACGCUGGCGGCGUGCUUAACACAUGCAAGUCGAACGGAAAGGCCCUGCUUUUGUGGGGUGCUCGAGUGGCGAACGGGCGAGUAACACGUGGGUAACCUGCCCUUGACUUUGGGAUAACUUCAGGAAACUGGGGCUAAUACCGGAUAGGAGCUCCUGCUGCAUGGUGGGGGUUGGAAAGUUUCGGCGGUUGGGGAUGGACUCGCGGCUUAUCAGCUUGUUGGUGGGGUAGUGGCUUACCAAGGCUUUGACGGGUAGCCGGCCUGAGAGGGUGACCGGCCACAUUGGGCCUGAGAUACGGCCCAGACUCCUACGGGCGGCAGCAGUGGGGAAUAUUGCACAAUGGGCGGAAGCCUGAUGCAGCAACGCCGCGUGCGGGAUGACGGCCUUCGGGUUGUAAACCGCUUUCGCCUGUGACGAAGCGUGAGUGACGGUAAUGGGUAAAGAAGCACCGGCUAACUACGUG
rnacentral:rRNA from 1 species